GUCGUCGCCAUUCCCUUCCCCGCCCGGCUCCCUCUUCGGUUGCCGCUGCCCGCGGCGCCGGAGGGCCGGCUCCAGCCUUCCCGGGCCUUCAGCCGCCCGAGAUGCUCCUCUGCGGCCCCGUCCUUCCCGGCAGGGACAGCUUCCACCGCCCGCCGCCCAUCCGCCGCUGUGGGCCUUCGGGGGCUCGGCUUCUCUGCCAGGAGGCGAGGCCCGCCCCGUCCCCGUCGCCAACUGCCGCCCUGCCCUGCACGGCGGCUCCUCUGAACUUUGUAUUUUCUCUCCUGAGGUUGAUCUCGGCCGCUCGUCGCCGAGGGCUUCCCCCACCCACCCCUCGCCUCCGAAAUCGGUAUUCCCUCCUUCCCCUGCCCGGACGGGAGACACGCAGAUCUGUUAAAAUCUGAAAUGAGAGCUAACAUUUCAUGAGCAUUAUUUUUCUCCUUUGACUGCUCUUACUGCCUUUCUUCUGUUCCGAGAUUUUAGCCCCAGAUAAACACAGGAGCCCUUUCAGCGGGGACCGCGAAGGGGGCCCGGAACUGCGGAGGGUCCCGAGCGCCCUCGACGGCAGCCGCCCAUGUGGCACCUGACGCCGAAAUCACAUGUCUGCGCUGGAAAUCAGUUCAGCGGAAAGUGUCAGCGCGUUGAAACAUAUAUCCUCCGGUGAGGAUUAACAGCAACAAAAAAUAUAUGCAAGACACUGGGGAGGAAGGACACUGGGGAGGAAGGACCACCUUGAGUUGAUGCUGACCCAAAUGGUGUGUUGCUGAGUUGACCCUUGUGGAUUCGGAUUCUAUAUGUAAAACGCUAUUGUAAAAUAAGUUAUUUGAUCCAAGAACAAAGACUUGAAUGGGAAUGUAUACUAUGUCAUCUAAACCGGAGUUGACAGGUUUGUGGCCAGAGAGUAUCUCCAAUGACAGCAUUUUACAGUAAAUCGGUAUGAGUCCAUUGCCCAGUACUUUUACGGAACGUAGGAUUUUCUAGUGACAUUCAAAGCUUUUGCCUCAAAAACUUGAAUAUCCUUAAUCCUAAUUACACAAAAUCUACCUGUUGCCAAGUGUCUCAGGGGUUAUGGUAAAAUUCCCAAAUACAUGGUUUUGUUUUUUUGUUUGUUUUUUAUAAACAGGGGUCCAAAGGCCCAAAGAUAUUUGGGUUUAAUAGAAGUUAUAGUCUAGUGCAGCCGUGGGCAAACUACGGCCAGCAGGCCGGAUACGGCCCGUUUGAAAUGAAUAAAACUUAAAAAAAAAAAAA